rnacentral:misc_RNA from 1 species
GAAAUGCGAUAAGUAGUGUGAAUUGCAGAAUUCAGUGAAUCAUCGAAUCUUUGAACGCACAUUGCGCCCCUUGGUAUUCCAUGGGGCAUGCCUGUUCGAGCGUCAUUUGUACCCUCAAGCUCUGCUUGGUGUUGGGUGUUUGUCCCGUCUCCGCGCGUGGACUCGCCCCAAAGUGAUUGGCAGCCGGCGUACUGGUCCCGGAGCGCAGCACAGGUCGCGCAAACGAGUGCCUUGGUACGGCGGCGUCCAUAAGCCCCUCUCUCACGCUCUUGACCUCGGAUCAGGUAGGGAUACCCGCUGAACUUAAGC